UCGGCUUGUUUUAAGCUCAAGCUCGGCUAGUUUAGAAAACAAGCCAAGCCUCGAACAACACAACUACUCUAGUGAGCUUUAGGUUUAGGGUUAUGAAGUUCCUAGUGGUUGUAUAUCUUCUUGUUCUCCAAAGGAUGCGCAUGUAGAUAGGGGUGUAGAUGAAUCGAACCGAGCCUGAGCUUUGAAGAGCUCGGGCUUGGCUUGUCAA
rnacentral:misc_RNA from 1 species